CCUAUUUUCUUCCCCAUAAAGAAAAUGGCAGCCAUUCUCCCCUAAUCUAAAAUUUCAAACAUUGAUGUUCUCUUCUUCUAUUUCAUCACAACCAUUUCAAAAAAGAGAUUGAAAUAUGUUUGGGUAAGCUUCAUACAACAUAAAGGAAGCUUGAGAAUUGAUUGGAGGUUCAUUUUGUGCUCCGUGUACUACUUAGUUUUUAAUGAUGCUCAUGAUGAUGUUGUUGGGGAAGAAAUUGAAAAGCCCUAAUUAAGGUUUUGCGGUUAAUCAUCAAGGGUCUAAAUUGAAGGGAGAACACGAUUUCUUCCAAGUGUUGAUUGGUUUGCUGGCUAGCUAGAGUGUUAUGGUCAGAAAACAUACUCAAUGGAUGAGAUCAACGAAGUGCGUGAAGAAUGGGUCUCCUACUUAACUGAGUAUAUGUCAUGAUUUAGAUUAAAUUUUAUUAAAUAUAUAUGACUGAUUAUAUUUACUGUCAAACUUUUGA